UACGUAGGGUGCGAGCGUUGUCCGGAAUUAUUGGGCGUAAAGAGCUCGUAGGCGGUGUGUCACGUCGGCCGUGAAAACCUGUAGCUUAACUGUGGGCGUGCGGUCGAUACGGGCAUCACUGGAGUUCGGCAGGGGAGACUGGAAUUCCUGGUGUAGCGGUGAAAUGCGCAGAUAUCAGGAGGAACACCGGUGGCGAAGGCGGGUCUCUGGGCCGAUACUGACGCUGAGGAGCGAAAGCGUGGGGAGCAAACAGG
rnacentral:rRNA from 1 species